rnacentral:rRNA from 1 species
UACAGAGGUCUCAAGCGUUGUUCGGAUUCACUGGGCGUAAAGGGUGCGUAGGUGGUGGAGUAAGUUUGAUGUGAAAGCUCUGGGCUUAACCCAGAAAUGGCAUUGGAUACUAUUCGGCUUGAGGUCUGGAGGGGGGACUGGAAUUCCUGGUGUAGCGGUGGAAUGCGCAGAUAUCAGGAGGAACACCGGUGGCGAAAGUGGCGCGCUGGACCUUAACUGACGCUGAGGCGCGAAAGCCAGGGGAGCGAACGGG